rnacentral:rRNA from 1 species
CCUACGGGAGGCAGCAGUGAGGAAUAUUGGUCAAUGGGCGCGAGCCUGAACCAGCCAAGUAGCGUGAAGGAUGACUGCCCUACGGGUUGUAAACUUCUUUUAUAAAGGAAUAAAGUGAGCCACGUGUGCCUUUUUGUAUGUACUUUAUGAAUAAGGAUCGGCUAACUCCGUGCCAGCAGCCGCGGUAAUACGGAGGAUCCGAGCGUUAUCCGGAUUUAUUGGGUUUAAAGGGAGCGUAGAUGGAUUGUUAAGUCAGUUGUGAAAGUUUGCGGCUCAACCGUAAAAUUGCAAUUGAUACUGGCAGCCUUGAGUACAGUUGAGGUCGGCGGAAUUCGUGGUGUAGCGGUGAAAUGCUUAGAUAUCACGAAGAACUCCGAUUGCGAAGGCAGUUGACUAAACUGCCACUGACAUUGAGGCUCGAAAGUGUGGGUAUCAAACAGGAUUAGAUACCCGAGUAGUC